GGUCCAAUGGUCUAGUGGUAUGAUUGUCGCUUCGGGAUUUCCUCCCUUCUGAUCCUUCAAUAAGAUUAGAAAUGAAUUGUGACAGGCCCCGGGUUCAAAUCCCGGUUGGACCC
rnacentral:tRNA from 1 species